GCCUGCCUAGCUCAAUCGGAUAGAGCGUCAGACUCUUAAGGCAGGGCGACCAACCUACAAAUUAUCUGAAGGCUGCGAGUUCGACCCUCGCGGUGGGCU
rfam:Hypholoma sublateritium FD-334 SS-4 unplaced genomic scaffold scaffold_41, whole genome shotgun sequence.